ACACAUGCAAGUCGAGCGGUAACAGGAGAAGCUUGCUUCUCGCUGACGAGCGGCGGACGGGUGAGUAACGCGUAGGAAUCUACCUAGUAGUGGGGGAUAGCCCAGAGAAAUUUGGAUUAAUACCGCAUACGCCCUAUGGGGGAAAGCAGGGGAUCUUCGGACCUUGCGCUAUUGGAGAAGCCUGCGUCGGAUUAGCUAGUUGGUGGGGUAAGGCCCACCAAGGCGACGAUCCGUAGCUGGUCUGAGAGGAUGAUCAGCCACACUGGGACUGAGACACGGCCCAGACUCCUACGGGAGGCAGCAGUGGGGAAUAUUGGACAAUGGGGGCAACCCUGAUCCAGCCAUGCCGCGUGUGUGAAGAAGGCCUUAGGGUUGUAAAGCACUUUCAGUAGGGAGGAAAAGUUAGUCGUUAAUAACGGCUAACCCUGACGUUACCUACAGAAGAAGCACCGGCAAACUCCGUGCCAGCAGCCGCGGUAAUACGGAGGGUGCGAGCGUUAAUCGGAAUUACUGGGCGUAAAGCGCGCGUAGGCGGCCUGAUAAGUUGGAUGUGAAAGCCCUGGGCUCAACCUGGGAACUGCAUUUCGAACUGGCAGGCUAGAGUAUGGUAGAGGUAAGUGGAAUUUCCUGUGUAGCGGUGAAAUGCGUAGAUAUAGGAAGGAACACCAGUGGCGAAGGCGACUUACUGGACCAAUACUGACACUGAGGUGCGAAAGCGUGGGGAGCAAACGGGAUUAGAUACCCCGGUAGUCCACGCCGUAAACGAUGUCUACUAGCCGUUGGGAGACUUGAUCUCUUAGUGGCGCAGCUAACGCAAUAAGUAGACCGCCUGGGGAGUACGGCCGCAAGGUUAAAACUCAAAAAUUGACGGGGGCCCGCACAAGCGGUGGAGCAUGUGGUUUAAUUCGAUGCAACGCGAAGAACCUUACCUGGUCUUGACAUCCUACGAACUUACUAGAGAUAGUUUGGUGCCUUCGGGAACGUAGUGACAGGUGCUGCAUGGCUGUCGUCAGCUCGUGUUGUGAAAUGUUGGGUUAAGUCCCGUAACGAGCGCAACCCUUAUCCUUAUUUGCCAGCACAUAAUGGUGGAACUCUAGGGAGACUGCCGGUGACAAACCGGAGGAAGGGGGGGAGGAGGCCAAUUCUUCAUGCCCCUUAGGAGUAGGGUUCCCCCCGUGUUCCAAUGUUCGGUCCAGAGGUUCGGGACCUUGGGAGGUUGACCCAUUUUAGGAAACCCAAUGUUAUUCGGGAUUCCAUUUGCCAAUUGGCCUCCA
rnacentral:rRNA from 1 species